CUAGUUCAUGAAUACAAGUCUAGGAUACAAUCAGAAGUAAGUUCAAGGACAACGAUGGCAGCAAAGGAAUAUAAAAGACAUAAACUCACAAGGAUGAACAGGAGGGGAGAUGACAGCAGACAAGAGAUGUCAACAAGUUGAGAAAGGAGGAGAGAGGACAGAUGAGAGGUACCCGUGACUUCGCAGAGGGCACCAGAAGUUAACAUUAAAUGACAAAGGAUAUGAGGCCUAUAGAAAUCCUAAAAGCUGAGAACAUAGUGAAGACUUCGGAGAGCCAAGACAAAAUCUGAAGAAAUUAUGAGUUUCAAAGCUGGAAACGUUUGGGUUGAUGCAUUGGAGGCCCAUAAAAGAACAUCACAGUCUGUUGCAUUCCUGUGAAGGCAAGGCAGCCCUUUAUUCAGCCCCAAAGCCUACGACUUCCUGUGACUCUGCUUCCGCCAGCCAUGGUUGAUUGGAUCAGGGCAAGCACCUGAUGCAGACGCACUCCUCACAGGAUGACCCGAGACCCAUGAGCCGGGAGUCAAAUGCAGGUGCACCAAAUUCC
rnacentral:lncRNA from 1 species